CAUUCGUCUCUUUUAGAUUACUACUUCCGCUUGGGUUCACUUUCCCUACAAGAAAUAUGAACAAAUUGGUGAUCAUCACUUUUGCUGUAGUUGCCCUGGCCAUCCUUGUUGUUUCCGAAGAGAUCCAAGGCCAAGGCUUCCAUGGCCAUUUCGAUCAGCAUGGGUACAAGGUGUCCAUUGAACACCAACCUCACAGCCAUGAACAUCAUCACCAUGGCGGACAUGGACACAGUGAAAGAUAUUUCCACAUCCAACACCAUGGACAUCAUGGACAUCAAGGAUAUGAAUAAUUUAUGAGGCAGAAAUGAGGAAUAUGAACAUGAAUGAGAGCUCCCGUAAAAUAACUGCUUAUGGUAAUGCAGUUCAAGAUUGGGUUUUUGUAUGGCUUCUUUCGAUGUAAUUUUUGUGGUGGAUGUUAAUAAA